rnacentral:misc_RNA from 1 species
UAUAUCCGUUUAUCCAGUCUGGUCAGUAUAUAGGCUACACGGGCAGUAAUUCAAGUACUAUUAAAUUCAAAUACCUAAAUCCAAUCUACUGACAUACAGCACCACCAAAAAUUUGUAAACACUUUAUUUACUUUAUUUUAGUGUAUAUUUCUUUAUAUUUGGCACCACUAAGCAAAAUUGCUUAGCGCGUUGCUUUUGUAACGCGUAGGUAUUGGAGAUACAGCUGGGGAGCCCAGCAGACCUAUGACCGGGUGAGACAUCAGAACUGCAUAGGAGUCCAGAGUCAUCUGCACUGCAUUGCAUACAUGGUAGGACUUAGGAUAUCUUGUAUUUUGUACUUUUGUUGUAUAUUUGAAAUUUGGCCCUGUAUUUCGUAAUGUUAUGAAAGCUCUAAAGUUUAUAAUAUUUUGUACAUAUUAAAUAACAUGGAGAUUUUCUGUACAUAUUUAAAUUAUUAUGGACUGUGUUAUGGAACUGUUUAAUGACUGUAAAAGUCUAUUGACUUUACUGAGAAAUAGAGACUGUGAAAUAUUUGAGAUUUUGAUAUCAUCAUAUUAAACUGUUUUCAACAGGUUUGGAAGGACAGUUUGUCCGAAAUACAGACGGCACCUUACCAAUUUUUUAUUUCCAAUCUUGAAACACUGAUUUUAUCAAAGUAUGAAAAUAGUAUCAGCAUGAUAUGAAUAUUACAUAAAAUACUUCUUAAAAUCAAAUUGAGCUCACGUAAUGAAAUAAUCAUUGACUAGGUGUUCCGGCACGCCGUGUAGCACGCCU